rnacentral:rRNA from 1 species
UACGAAGGGGGCUAGCGUUGCUCGGAAUUACUGGGCGUAAAGGGUGCGUAGGCGGGUCUUUAAGUCAGGGGUGAAAUCCUGGAGCUCAACUCCAGAACUGCCUUUGAUACUGAAGAUCUUGAGUUCGGGAGAGGUGAGUGGAACUGCGAGUGUAGAGGUGAAAUUCGUAGAUAUUCGCAAGAACACCAGUGGCGAAGGCGGCUCGCUGGCACGAUACUGACGCUGAGGCACGAAAGCGUGGGGAGCAAACAGG